UCUAAUCAGGUGGGUGUGGGAAGCUGUCUGGUGAGAGCAGAAACGGGCUGUCUUGCAGUAGUGAACGGAGAGCUCCAUUCCACUUGGAAAGACAAUACAUAAUAUCUGCAUAACUAGCUGAAUUACUGUAUCUUUAAAUAAAUGUCGAACCUAGCUCUAAAACCGGCGGGCAGGAGAAAUGGAAGUGCAUACGUUGAUCGAGACAAACCGGCCCAGAUUCGUUAUAGCAACAUUUCUGCCGCGAAAGCUGUUGCCGACGCUAUCAGAACCAGCCUCGGUCCAAAAGGCAUGGACAAAAUGAUACAGGAUGGGAAAGGUGAUGUCACCAUUACCAACGACGGAGCCACCAUCCUCAAGCAGAUGCAGGUCUUGCACCCAGCUGCUAAAAUGGUGGGUCGGUGUCAUGAGUUUGCAUUUGUGUCUGAGCACGCAGUGUUUCAUUUUUGUU